rnacentral:rRNA from 2 species
GUCCUUUUGAAAUUGAUUUAAGGUUUAACCUGCCCACUGAAAUUUUUUGAAGGGCCGCAGUAAUUUGACUGUGCAAAGGUAGCAUAAUCAUUAGUUUUUUAAUUAAAAGCUUGUAUGAAGGGUUGGACGAGAUAAAUUCUGUCUCUAUUUAAUUAAAUUUAGAAUUUAAUUUUUAAGUUAAAAAGCUUAAAUUUUUUUAAAAGACGAGAAGACCCUAUAGAUCUUUAUAUUAGAAAUAUUAAUUUUAAUUAGGAAUAUUUUAUAUUUUAUUAUUAAUAAUAUUUUAUUGGGGUAAUAAAAAGAUUUAAUUAAUUCUUUUUUUAUUUAAACAUUAAUAAAUGAUUAUAUGAUCCAUUUUUAUUGAUUAAAAGAUUAAGUUACCUUAGGGAUAACAGCGUAAUUUUUUUAGAGAGUUCAUAUCGAUAAAAAAGUUUGCGACCUCGAUGUUGGAUUAAAAAUUAUCUUAGGUGUAGAAUUUUAAGAUUUUGGUCUGUUCGACCAUUAAAUUUUU